CUCGAAUGAUAAGCGGCUCGAAUUAAGCGGCUCGAAUGAUAACUGUAGAAGCGUUAUUCAGAACACACGGAAUUGUCCUCCACUUCCAGCAGCGUUCUCUCUACUUCCUUUUUAAAUAAAAAGAUGUUGAUCCAUAAAUAUUUUCAUAAACAACGGUUACAUUUAAUUUUCGCUUUUUCUUCCUGUUUUGCUGUUGCCUUGGCUCUGUCCCUUAGUAGAUCGCUUAAUUUCUCAAAUCCUUGCGACUCUUGUUUCCAAUUGGCAAUUUUUAACGAAAAGAGCUGUACAAUUAGGGAAAAACCAGAAGAGUUAACAGGUGACAGUCAUAUUGCCUAUGAGUUUCAAGGUUAUUCCAGGGAUUGAUGAUAGAUGCUAUCUCGCAUAAUUUUGUUUUCCACCUUAUCUAACCCAUAUCACAGGCAUGUGGUUCCAAGGAUCUGUCAGCGUCGCAGCGAGCCGUCACUCGAAGAAAUAAUGAAACAAAAAGAAAAGUUAAGCGCAAUUGGCAUUUUCUUUGGCCGCAACUCGUUCCACGUGCAUACAGACCCCCUGACCCUGAACUGAAUCCCUUUCUUCGUUCCUGGAUCAGUCUAAACGAAGAAGGUUGAACUUACGAAGCAGCAACGAUGGGCGUGACCGUUGAAUAGACGGUAACAACUGUUAGGAAUGGCCUGCCGAGGUAGCAACAUGCAAGUUUUCUCAGCCAGCUGCAGCUGCGAGCGUUGCGAGCUUCCCCGAAGAGAACCACAGAAGCCUAUCACAAUUGCUGCGUUGACUCAUUUCGUAGGGACCUCGAGGUGCCACUUCAACACCCCCUCGGCGCCGUUGUGACUAAACGCGUUACUGAACCCGCCACCACCGACAUGGUCUCUCUGCAGCAAGAAGAGCUUCCCUAACAAAAGGAUGCUUUGCGGUACGUGGGCCCCAGGAUUCGUCAGUCUGCUGACACUCUUGGCGACUUUAGGACGCAAGACAUUGGAUAACCGGCGGCCACGCUGCGGGGGUCGGCUCGGGGAAUAAGACACGCCUUUCAAGACGUAAGCCCCGAGUUCUGCGGGGCUUGUCUCACCUCGGAGGGGGCAGUGAAACCUGUGCGGAAUGUGUGCGUAUGUCCUUCCCCCCUUCCCUCAAAGGCGGGCCGGCUACAAUUACUAGAACGUUUCCCUCACCUAGGGAUUUAGGGAACACGGAGUGUUUAUAAGCAGCUGUUUGUCGCUGCUAGUGCGUGCUCGUCAGGGUGCUCUGUGAUCGUGCUCGUGAGCAGUGUUUGGAGCUUCGUGCUCAUAUGCUGUAUGCUUCGUCUUGCGUGCUCCAUUUGGGAGCUACGCUAGAAUGUCGAAUGUCUCUCUUGUUUGAAUGUAAAUAUCUGUAAAUAAACCCUGCUCGCCUAGUCCUGUCCUCCCAAGCUCCUCCCUACGACCUACAACCCCUUCAACUGGUGGCAGCGGCGAGAUCGUCCGACAAACUCCGACAACUGUAUGCCAGCAGUGGGAUCGUCCUCCCAAUUCCAACUGAAUGGCAGCGGUGAGAUAGGCCUACGGCUCGUAGAUCGGCCUACAGCUCGUAGACAGCAAUGGCAGCUCACGGACUUUGGCACAUGAUGAUCGACCGGUAUCCUGAUCAAGUUGGAGGCAACUUGGGAUUGACCACCUCUUGCAACUGACUGGAUACGGCGGAGAAGGGCGGGUGAUAUGGUGCUGCUUCAGUGGUGGAUGUCAGCACUGGUCAGUCGAGAUUUUCCGGGACAUGGAGGAGCUGUUAGGAAUGGCCUGCCGAGGUGGCAACAUGCAAGUUUUCUCAGCCAGCUGCAGCUGCGAGCUUCCCCGAAAAGAACCAUGGAAGCCUAUCACAAUUGCUGUGUUGACUCAUUUCGUAGGGACCUCGAGGUCCUGCUUCAACACCCCCUCGGCGCCGUUGUGACUAAACGCGUUACUGAACCCGCCACCACCGACAUGGUCUCUCUGCAGCAAGAAGAGCUUCCCUAACAAAAGGGUGCUUUGCGGUACGUGGGCCUCAGGAUUCGUCACAGUCUGUUGACACUCGUGGCAACUACAGGAUGCGAGACAAUGGACAACUGGCGGCCAUGCUGCGGGGGUCAGCUCGGGGAAUAAGACACGCCUCUCAAGACGCAAGUCCUGAGUUCUGCGGGGCCCGUCUCACCUCGGAAGGGGCAGUGAAACCUGUGCGGAAUGUGUGCGUGUAAACCCCCUCCCCCUUUUCUCAAAGGCGGGCCGGCUACAAUGACUCGAACGUUUCCCUCACCUAGGGAUCUAGGGAACACGGAGUGUUUAUAAGCAGCUGUUUGUCGCUGCUAGUGCGUGCUCGUCAGGGUGCUCUGUGAUCGUGCUUUUCAUCGUGCUCGUGAGCAGUGUGUUUGGAGCUUCAUGCUCGUAUGCUUUGUCUUAUGUGCUCCAUUUGGGAGCCACGCUAGAAUGUCGAAUGUCUCUCUUGUUCUCAUGUAAAUAUCUGUAAAUAAAUCCUGCUCGCCUA